GACGAACGCUGGCGGCGUGCUUAACACAUGCAAGUCGAACGGAAAGGCCCUGCUUUUGUGGGGUGCUCGAGUGGCGAACGGGUGAGUAACACGUGAGUAACCUGCCCUUGACUUUGGGAUAACUUCAGGAAACUGGGGCUAAUACCGGAUAGGAGCUCCUGCUGCAUGGUGGGGGUUGGAAAGUUUCGGCGGUUGGGGAUGGACUCGCGGCUUAUCAGCUUGUUGGUGGGGUAGUGGCUUACCAAGGCUUUGACGGGUAGCCGGCCUGAGAGGGUGACCGGCCACAUUGGGACUGAGAGACGGCCCAGACUCCUACGGGAGGCAGCAGUGGGGAAUAUUGCACAAUGGGCGGAAGCCUGAUGCAGCAACGCCGCGUGCGGGAUGAAGGCCUUCGGGUGGUAAACCGCUUUCGCCUGUGACGAAGCGUGAGUGACGGUAAUGGGUAAAGAAGCACCGGCUAACUACGU
rnacentral:rRNA from 1 species